UACAGAGGGUGCGAGCGUUAAUCGGAAUUACUGGGCGUAAAGCGCGCGUAGGCGGCUUUGCAAGUCGGGUGUGAAAUCCCCAGGCUUAACCUGGGAACUGCAUUCGAGACUGCAUUGCUAGAGUAUGGGAGAGGGAAGUGGAAUUUCCGGUGUAGCGGUGAAAUGCGUAGAUAAGUCGGAAGGAACAUCAGUGGCGAAAGGCGACUUCCUGGACCCAAUACUGACGCUCAUGGUGCGGAAAGCGUGGGGAGCAAACAG
rnacentral:rRNA from 1 species